AGAGCGAACGCUGGCGGCAGGCUUAACACAUGCAAGUCGAGCGGGCGUAGCAAUACGUCAGCGGCAGACGGGUGAGUAACGCGUGGGAACGUACCUUUUGGUUCGGAACAACACAGGGAAACUUGUGCUAAUACCGGAUAAGCCCUUACGGGGAAAGAUUUAUCGCCAAAAGAUCGGCCCGCGUCUGAUUAGCUAGUUGGUGAGGUAACGGCUCACCAAGGCGACGAUCAGUAGCUGGUCUGAGAGGAUGAUCAGCCACAUUGGGACUGAGACACGGCCCAAACUCCUACGGGAGGCAGCAGUGGGGAAUAUUGGACAAUGGGCGCAAGCCUGAUCCAGCCAUGCCGCGUGAGUGAUGAAGGCCCUAGGGUUGUAAAGCUCUUUUGUGCGGGAAGAUAAUGACGGUACCGCAAGAAUACGCCCGGACUAACUUCGCGCCAGCAGCCGC
rnacentral:rRNA from 1 species